AUUUCACUCUUUUGUUUAUGCAGGCUGAGACGCUUGUAGAUCAUAUCAAAUUUGAUCAUGGAUAUACAGCCAAGAGUCCCGCUAUUGUUUAUGUAAGUUUCCUCAGCUGUCAGCGGAAGUGUAGUACCUGAGACUAAUGUUACCAAGCUAGUCUUUCUGCCUUUCGAUUGGCUUCAAACUGAUAUCAGUAGUACCUGAGACUAAGCUAGUCCUGUCUCUUCGAUUGGCUUCAAACUGAUAUCAACUGUUAAUUUGCUGAUCCUCAGUUGCUAGAGAUCAUGGGAGAGUUCACUCCUGAGCAGCAACGAGCGUUCUGUCAGUUUGUA
rnacentral:lncRNA from 1 species